UACGGGGGGUGCGAGCGUUGUCCGGAAUCACUGGGCGUAAAGGCGCGUAGGUGGCUUGUAAGUUUGCGGUGAAGCCGGCUCAACCCGGUCUGCCGUGGAUACUGCAAGGCUUGAGUACUGUAGAGGCAGGUAGAAUAUCGGUGUAGCGGUGGAAUGCGUAGAGAUCCGAUAGAAGACCGGUGGCGAAGGCGGCCUGCUGGCAGUAACUGACACUGAGGCGCGAAAGCUGGGGAGCAAACCGG
rnacentral:rRNA from 1 species